rnacentral:rRNA from 1 species
UGAACGCUGGCGGCGUGCCUAACACAUGCAAGUCGAGCGAAGCACUUUACUUUGAUUCUUUCGGGAUGGACGAGUGAUUUGACUGAGCGGCGGACGGGUGAGUAACGCGUGGGUAACCUGCCUCACACAGGGGGAUAACAGUUAGAAAUGACUGCUAAUACCGCAUGACAUCGUAGUAUCGCAUGGUACAGCGAUCAAAGGAGCAAUCCGCUGAAAGAUGGACUCGCGUCCGAUUAGCUAGUUGGCGGGAUAAAGGCCCACCAAGGCGACGAUCGGUAGCCGGACUGAGAGGUUGAUCGGCCACAUUGGGACUGAGACACGGCCCAGACUCCUACGGGAGGCAGCAGGUGGGGGAUAUUGCACAAUGGGGGAAACCCUGAUGCAGCAACGCCGCGUGAAGGAAGAAGGUCUUCGGAUUGUAAACUUCUGUCCUCAGGGAAGAUAAUGACGGUACCUGAGGAGGAAGCUCCGGCUAACUACGUGCCAGCAGCCGCGGUAA